rnacentral:lncRNA from 1 species
AAAAACAAGGGUCAUCAGAUCUCCCUCAUUAAUUAAGGUGGUAGAUCUGAUGGCCAAGUGUGCGCGUUCCACAAUGGUCAUUAGUUAAUGCGCUGCAGGCUUGGUAAUCACAAUGGACGUGUGAGAUUAAAAAAAAUAGAUAGAUCAUGCGGCUAAGAGGUGUGAUAACACACCACCAUAGCUAGGGCUCCAGUCUUCUUCUCCGGUGGACCUCACCGGACUGGUCC